rnacentral:rRNA from 1 species
UGGGGGAAUUUUGGACAAUGGGCGAAAGCCUGAUCCAGCCAUGCCGCGUGAGUGAUGAAGGCCUUAGGGGUUGUAAAGCUCUUUCGCCGACGAAGAUAAUGACGGUAGUCGGAGAAGAAGCCCCGGCUAACCUCGUGCCAGCAGCCGCGGUAAUACGAAGGGGGCUAGCGUUGUUCGGAAUCACUGGGCGUAAAGCGCACGUAGGCGGAUUGUUAAGUCAGGGGUGAAAGCCUGGAGCUCAACUCCAGAACUGCCCUUGAUACUGGCAAUCUCGAGUCCGGAAGAGGGUAAGUGGAACUGCGAGUGUAGAGGUGAAAUUCGUAGAUAUUCGCAAGAACACCAGUGGCGAAGGCGGCUUACUGGUCCGGUACUGACGCUGAGGUGCGAAAGCGUGGGGGAGCAAACAGGAUUAGAUACCCUGGUAGUCCACGCCGUAAACGAUGGAGGCUAGCCGUUUGGGCGAGCAUGCUCGUCAGUGGCGCAGCUAACGCAUUAAGCCUCCCGCCUGGGGGAGUACGGUCGCAAGAUUAAAACUCAAAUGAAUUGACGGGGGUCAUAGCUGUUUUCCCU